rnacentral:rRNA from 1 species
GAUGAACGCUGACAGAAUGCUUAACACAUGCAAGUCGUUGGCGAAUCUGUGCUUGCACAGGCUAGCCAAGGCGGACGGGUGAGUAACGCGGAAAGAACUUGCCCUGCAGACAGGGAUAACAGACGGAAACGACUGAUAACACCUGAUACAGUUGCCGGCACGCACGUGCCUGGCAAUGAAAAGAGAUGCUGCAGGAGAGCUUUGCGUCCUAUUAGCUUGUUGGUGAGGUGACGGCUCACCAAGGCGAUGAUAGGUAGCCGGCCUGAGCGGGUGAACGGCCACAACGGCACUGAGAUACGGCACUUGCUACUACGGGAGGCAGCAGUGGGGCAUAUUGGACCAUGGGGGCGUCCCUGAUCCAGCACUUCUGUGUGCACGAAGAAGGUUUUCGGAUUGUAAAGUGCUUUCAGCAGGGAAGAAGAAAGUGACGGUACCUGCAGAAGAAGCGACGGCUAACUACGUG